GAAGUUCUGAGAAACUCGAUCCCCACCUGUUCCACAUCACAGUGCAUGAGAAAGAAAUGCCUAAUGAACCCACUGAGCUGAAGCCUCUACUUUUCAUCAUCUGCUCAAGCAGUAUACAAAUUUCAUGUCUUUGAGCCCCACUGUAAAGGGCAAGGAUCUGUCACCAGGCACCUGAGCACAGGAUCCAAACUCUCAGUCCAUGUUCAUGACCACCACAGACAAAACCAAUGCACAACAAGUUUGGGUUUUGUACGCCAGGAAAUGAUUCCUCUCUCACUGAAGUGUUCUUUCUCAUCAUGACUUCACUUUUCUCCAGGGAAGCUGAGGGAAGAACAAGAACUCGGAGAACUUCCAGGAGUAUUUUUAGGAAGAAAUACUUUCUAUUUGAUCCAUUUUCUCUUCUGAUUUCACUCAGGAUUCCAUGGAGACAAUUGAGUUAUUUCACUGUUUCUAUGCUUUUGUCACUCUUCAGUGUUAAAAGAUAAAGCAUGCUGCUAUAUACAGAAAAAAUGUGAGUCGAAGCAAGAGCAAUACAGAAUGGGCAACAUAUUCCUUAAAACUUACAAGAUACUUUUAAAAGCUUCAGUGCACCAGCAGUGCGAUAUAUUCUUCUC